rnacentral:rRNA from 1 species
CAGUAGCCACGGGAAUACGAAGGGUGCAAGCGUUAAUCGGAAUUACUGGGCGUAAAGCGCGCGUAGGUGGUUUGGUAAGAUGGAUGUGAAAUCCCCGGGCUCAACCUGGGAACUGCAUCCAUAACUGCCUGACUAGAGUACGGUAGAGGGUGGUGGAAUUUCCUGUGUAGCGGUGAAAUGCGUAGAUAUAGGAAGGAACACCAGUGGCGAAGGCGACCACCUGGACUGAUACUGACACUGAGGUGCGAAAGCGUGGGGAGCAAACAGGAUUAGAUACCCCUGUAGUCCCUGUCUCUUAUAC